rnacentral:rRNA from 1 species
AUACGGAGGAUGCAAGCGUUAUCUGGAUUUAUUGGGUUUAAAGGGUGUGUAGGCUGUGGGGAAAGUCAGGGGUGAAAGCCCGGCGCUUAACGCCGGAACUGCCUUUGAUACUUCUCCGCUGGAAUACGGAUGCCGUGGGAGGAAUGAGUAGUGUAGCGGUGAAAUGCAUAGAUAUUACUCAGAACACCGAUUGCGAAGGCAUCUCACGAAUCCGUCAUUGACGCUGAGGCACGAAAGCGUGGGGAUCAAACAGGAUUAGAUACCCUGGUAGUCCACGCAGUAAACGAUGAUAACUAACCGUCGGCGAUACACAGUCGGUGGCCAAGCGAAAGCGAUAAGUUAUCCACCUGGGGAGUACGUUCGCAAGAAUGAAACUCAAAUGAAUUGACGGGG